AUUGAACGCUGGCGGCAGGCCUAACGCAUGCAAGUCGAGCGGUUGACGGGAGCUUGCUCCCUGAUUCAGCGGCGGACGGGUGAGUAAUGCCUAGGAAUCUGCCUAUUAGUGGGGGACAACGUUUCGAAAGGAACGCUAAUACCGCAUACGUCCUACGGGAGAAAGCAGGGGACCUUCGGGCCUUGCGCUAAUAGAUGAGCCUAGGUCGGAUUAGCUAGUUGGUGAGGUAAUGGCUCACCAAGGCGACGAUCCGUAACUGGUCUGAGAGGAUGAGCAGUCACACUGGAACUGAGACACGGUCCAGACUCCUACGGGAGGCAUCAGUGGGGAAUAUUUGACAAUGGGCGAAAGCCUGAUCCAGCCAUGCCGCGUGUGUGAAGAAGGUCUUCGGAUUGUAAAGCACUUUAAGUUGGGAGGAAGGGUUGUAGAUUAAUACUCUGCAAUUUUGACGUUACCGACAGAAUAAGCACCGGCUAACUCUGUGCCAGCAGCCGCAGUAAGAC
rnacentral:rRNA from 1 species